ensembl:lncRNA
GUCAGGUGUGAUGGGGUCAUGGAUGCUGGUUUGGAUUCUGUGUGCCACAGUCACUCUGAUGCCUGUGUGUCUUCACGGAGCAAUAUCGGUCCGUUUUAAAACCGGACGGCCUCUGUAUGUUGCGCUCGGACAAACUCUUGUUCUGGAAGCCGUGUUUGAGAAGGAUCCAGAAGACAAGAUAGACAUAGUGACGUGGGACCGCGAGAGAGGAAGAGAGCAUGUCAGGCUGUCACACGGAAACAGAAUAUCUUUGGAGAAUGGAGAUGCACUUCUGCGGGUCACUGAUGUUGCAGAAGGGGACUUUGCGAUCUACAAGGUCACUGUUACAGACAGGAACGGAUACCAGCAGCACGACUCAAUAGAAGUGCGAAAGACAGUGGAAUCUCCAAAGGCGUCAAUAACACGUGUGCUGGAGUGUGUUGUUGAUAAUCACGGCAUGACGCAGUGGGACAGCCCUCAGUUUUCUUGGCUGGUUGAUGGUGUUACAGUAACCAAUCAAAGCGCUCUGUUAGCAGAUGGCAGUAGACUAGACAUCUCUAAAAUUAAGGGCGUUAACUACACCUGCAUCAUCAAGAGCAGCCUGGGGACGGUGACUACACAUCAUCAAAUACCAGAAGAAUCGUCAGCGUCUCGGCACUGUUGUGCAGCACUGAUUGCAGUUGUAGUUUUAACACCAGUAAUAACACUUGUGGCUGGGUUCAUUGUCAUGAAGAAAUGCAAGAACAAUUCCAUCCUUUAGCAAUACUGAACACUCACAGACAACCUUUUUUUUAUUAUUAUUGUUUUAUUGUAACAAUUUUGGUUUGUAAUUUAUUUUACGUAUGUACUAUUUAACAUCAUAUGCUUUUCCCUCUUAUUUAUGACUUUAAUUUGAAUUGCAGAAAUGCUGUUCAUGCAACUCUGCGUACUGUACAUAUAUGUGACUCUCAAACAGUUUUCAGCUUCCAGGUGUAAAUGUUCUCAGCAUGCUUUCUUACUAUUGAAACUGUUUUAGCUGUUUCCCUGCAGUUUUUCCGUUUGGUAGAUUUGAUAAAGUUCUUGUUUUAUGUCAAAAGAAUGUUCUUGUGUUAAAAAAAAUGAGAGCUUCUGUUCAUUUGGCCAAUCUUUAUAGAUGUGAGUUGUUAAAAUGACUACUACUGUAUGUAUCAUAAAGAUAUAAGCUGUUUUGUUUACAAAAAUGAAUAUAAGUGCUAUUCAUUUUCUCUCUACCUCAUUUGUUCUUAUUAAUCUGCUUCUGGAGCAUUUUGAAGCACUGAUGUUUAAGUUUGUUCAGAGAAUAAAAGAGUCCAAACGGAUUUUGAGGGUGGAGUGUGAUGUGAGGGUUUUACUGUAUGCAAGAACUGUUUGUUUGAACAGAAAAUAGUGGCUUUUACGACACAGGAAAGGGAAAAAGGAAACAGCUCAAACACGGUGACGCCUAAAGUCCUUGAACUCGGUGUACUGAGCACGCGAGUUCACAGAAUACAGCAGUCCUGCAGAGACACAAACAUGUUUACUGUGGGAGCUGCGCUCUAGUGCUUUUAUGGGACAGGAGUUUCUGGAUACAGUCGUCUCUUUCGGGAAGUUAUGAGAGCUGACAUGGAGCUAAGACUACAGCGAUUCAUCAGGACCGUCCUGCUUCUGCACAUCUGCUGGCUCUGGAGCGGCCAGUGUUUGUCCGUCCGCUUCGCAAACCAGCAGUUGCUGUAUGUAAUCAGAGGCCAGACUCUGAUCCUUCAUGCACAAAUCGAGCUGCUGGAUGGGGAACAUGUUAAUAAAGUGACGUGGGACCACGUUGCAAAGACUUCUGGGAUGAGUUCAACAUUGGCUGAGUUUCCUCCUAAAGCAUCAGAUGGGAGAGUCACACUGGAACAGCAGGGAGCCACACUGAAGGUCCCAGAUUUUCAGGCAGCAGACACCGGCGUCUACACGGUCACAGUUACAGACCAGUCAGGACAGAGACAAUCUGCACAGCAAACCGUUCAAGAGUAUCUGGCGGUGCAUCACGUGUCGGUGAUGGUGAAUGUGUCUCACUGGGUUCUUCACUGUAUGGAGGCCUGGGGAACUGAGCCCAUCUUCACUUGGCUGCAUGAGAAAGUGAUUGUAACGGAGAAAGUGGGUCAUGUUUCGGCAGAUGGGACAUCUCUGCACGUCUCCGGCAGCAGCUUCUGCGGACACUUCACCUGCGUGGUGAGCAACAAACUGGGACACAGCUCAGCCACAUACAGCGCAGAGGCGUGUGAAAGCACAAACCGGAGCAUGACUGCUAUCGUUGUGUUUCUGCUGCUGAUACUGAUGCUCGCAGCUGCAUCGCUGGCCUUUAUACUGUGGAGGAGACACAGGCGUGGAUAUAACAGAAGAGAGAGACUGAGAGAGCCGUGUGAAGAGACUCUGUGA